UACGUAGGGUGCGAGCGUUAAUCGGAAUUACUGGGCGUAAAGCGUGCGUAGGCGGUUCGUUAAGUUCGUUGUGAAAGCCCCGGGCUCAACCUGGGAAGUGCACUCGAAACUGCGGGGCUGGAGUCCUGGAGAGGAAGGCGGAAUUCUCGGUGUAGAGGUGAAAUUCGUAGAUAUCGAGAGGAACACCGGUGGCGAAGGCGGCCUUCUGGACAGUUCCUGACGCUGAGGCACGAAGGUCAGGGGAGCAAACGGG
rnacentral:rRNA from 1 species